GUAGGUGGCAAGCGUUGUCCGGAAUUAUUGGGCUUAAAGCGCGCGCAGGCGGUUCUUUAAGUCUGAUGUGAAAGCCCACGGCUCAACCGUGGAGGGUCAUUGGAAACUGGAGAACUUGAGUACAGAAGAGGGAAGCGGAAUUCCACGUGUAGCGGUGAAAUGCGUAGAGAUGUGGAGGAACACCAGUGGCGAAGGCGGCUUUCUGGUCUGUAACUGACGCUGAGGCGCGAAAGCGUGGGGAGCAAACAGGGAUUAGAUACCCUGGUAGUCCACGCCGUAAACGAUGAGUGCUAAGUGUUAGGGGGUUUCCGCCCCCUUAGUGCUGCAGCUAACGCAUUAAGCACUCCGCCUGGGGAGUACGGCCGCAAGGCUG
rnacentral:rRNA from 1 species